AGAAAAGGAUAUGCUUAUUAUCUUAAGACCCUGACAAGGGCUAGCCAACACAGUGAGGCUGGCUGGGUAGAGGCAUAAAAAUUGCCUAUGUCUUCCACAAACCAAGAAAUAAACCAUCUUUCAGGAUCAAUGCCUCAAUCAUCCUAAAUGAUACAACAUUGCUUUGGAGAAGCAGGAUAGGACUCUGCCUCUCUAACAGCACGCUAGCAACAAGGGAAUAAUUGCUAUGAAAAAGGAAAGAGACCAAGAUUUAUUCUUUGGUGCUUGGAGGGCUGCCCCGUGACAUGACUCCUGCCUACCAGGCCAAUCUUAUUCUACAUGUCUCUGAAGAACACCCUGACAAGGACCCAAGAGUCAACAUGGAACUAAACCUGAGGUGGUGGCAGCUCUGGGACUUGUG